rnacentral:misc_RNA from 1 species
GAUAUUCGACGAGGUGUGGAGGAAGUUCUCUGGGUUGGGCCAGAUAUCCAGGACUACUCGUGCCGAUGACAAGGAGGCUUUUGAUGCGUUGCUCAUAAGGGAGGGCCCCAUGUGCGAGUUUGCCAUCCCUGGUGCUCAGAAUACCACUGUCCUUGUUGUUGGAGCCCCCAGCCGUAUUGGAUUGUUGUUAGAAAGCUUAUGCUCAGGGGUUACACUGUCAAGGCUUUGGUAAGAAAGGCUGAUCAGGAAGUGAUUGACUCGCUCCCUAGGUUAGUAGAGAUUGUGAUUGGGGACGUGGGCGAUCCCUCCACCCUUAAGGCUGCUGUGGAGGGCUGCAACAAAAUUAUCUAUUGUGCCACUGCUCGUUCUGCCAUCACCGGCGAUCUCUUCAGAGUUGAUCAUCAAGGGGUUUCCAACCUCACCAAAGCGUUUCAGGACUAUAACAACAAACUAGCACAACUUAGAGCAGGAAAAAGCAGCAAAAGCAAACUUCUGCUUGCAAAGUUCAAAUCUCCAAAUUCACUGAAUGGGUGGG